rnacentral:rRNA from 1 species
UACGAAGGGGGCUAGCGUUGUUCGGAAUUACUGGGCGUAAAGGGCGCGUAGGCGGUACUUCAAGUCAGGCGUGAAAGCCCCGGGCUCAACCUGGGAACCGCGCUUGAGACUGGAGAACUAGAGUUCGGGAGAGGAUGGUGGAAUUCCCAGUGUAGAGGUGAAAUUCGUAGAUAUUGGGAAGAACACCGAUGGCGAAAGGCAGCCAUCUGGACCGACACUGACGCUG